rnacentral:sRNA from 1 species
UUAAACUUAGCUUACAUCAACAAUUAGAAAACCUAUGUUGCAAAGCUCAUGGGACAAGGAAGCAGUAAUGUCAUUGCCCAGUCCCAGUGAGGCAGUUUUGAACAUAACAUGGAAUUCAAGAUGGUUUCAAAGCCCAUGUCACUGUACCAUCCUGAGAACUCUUGUUCUUCUCAACAGGAAAUGGCAGCUAUUGGCCAUGGUACUUCAGAGUUGUUUUAGAGCAGCACUCCCAGGUGUCAUGGUUACGGUGAUGUAUAACAUAAAACAAGAUUUGUUGAUUUAGGAAAACUACAGCACAUAUAAAAACGUCCGUUCGUAACCAUUUGCUCAGGCUGUCUUUAGAGGGAUUUGAUUGCAUCUACUAAAUCUUUCUAAAUGAAAUCUCCCUUGUGGUAGUUGUAGGUCUGCACUGUGAGUCCUGUUGGAAAGAGUUAAGAUACAAAUAUCAGGGAGUGGAGCAGAGAGUUGAGCAGCAGACCUGUGUGGAGAAUAUUGAUGGGAUGACAGAGGGCAACAGCCCUGUCCUGGAAAUGAACUAUAUUAUGAAGGCAGAUGGUCAACUCAAUAUAUGUCACUCACCAUAACUUGCUCUAAACUAAUUACCUAAUGCAAGAAACAGAUGUCUGGAAAGCCUCAUAAACAGAUAUAUGAGUGAUAUAUGGGUGACUUUUCAGUUUAGUCAAAAGGAUGGUAGCUAUUAAAAUGCCAUUGAUGUCCCAAAAUAGAAAAAAUACAUUAAGUGGCAUUUUAUUAUUCGCCCCCCACCCCAGAACUCAAAGCACUCAACAACAAGUAAUGCGACCCAUGCAUAUUAUUAGCUAUAAAAUCGGGCUAUUUAUGAGAUUGCUUACUUUGUGGAGGUCAUUGUGCCUUUAUUUAAAUUAUUGCUUCUAUGAAUUAAAUUGUUUUCUGUGACCUGUGAGCUUUAGUGCUGCUCUGGAGGGCUCAGUGACAGGCAAGCUCUGUCCCCCAUGCUCUACAGGGGUUUGCUGCCUCCUUUACAGGAAGCCACUGGGAAAGCUAAGCCCUGUUGGAAUAGAAGUGAAGUCAAGUUUCUCAACACUCACUGCAUUAGGUUGGAGAGGUCUAACCCUGACAUGUCACUUGACCUGUGACUAUCUGUGCUCUGAUUCAAGAACUCUAAUCUGAUCAAAAGUAAUCUAUACAUUCUAACUAAUACCUUAUAUCAUUUCUGUUUUUUUUUCUGUCUCAUGGCCCUUAAUAAGAAAUAUUGUCGGAUCCACCCACCAUCCCAGGAACAGAUGGCAGAAGUGUGUUGUAUGUAGUUUCCUGAGCCCUAUUAUCUAGCUCUGGGCUCACUCUUCAGUCUGGAGGAACACUGUGGGAACCCAAGAACAUCCUGCUUCUCUGUGGAAACCUUGAGGGAGUGGCAAAGCUACAAAUCUUGGAACCCUGCUCGACCAAACCCAUUCUAGUCAGAUCCACUCACCAUCCCAGUUGGUCCACCUUGUACACAGCCUGCAGAGACAGGAGCCUGUCCUCUGAGAGGCUUGACUCAGCAGCCAAUGGAAAGAGACGCAGAGACUCAUACCCAAACAUUAGAUGGAGCUCGGAGAGUCUUAUGAAAGAAGUGGAAGAAAGAUCGAGGGGCCCGAAAAGAUGGAAGGACGGGGACUUCACAGGAAGACCACCAGAGUCAACUAACCUGGACCCUUGGGGUCUUCCAGAGACUGAAUCACCAACCAAAGAGUGAGCAAGGGCUGGACAUAGUCCUCCUUGCACAUAUAAAGUAGUUGUAACACUGGACCUCAGAAGCGGGAGUUCUAGCAACCAUCUGACUGUGUCACCUUGCAGCAGCCCGAGGAAGUGUCUGAGGUGGAGAAGCCCGAGUGACUCAGCAAAACAUCUUGACAACACGGCACCUCCUAUCUGGCUUAAAAAACAACGAAGAAAAUAAGAAAGAAACAAGCCAGGUGAUGGUGGUACAGACAG